UUAAGCGACUAAGCGUACACGGUGGAUGCCCUGGCAGUCAGAGGCGAUGAAGGACGUGCUAAUCUGCGAUAAGCGUCGGUAAGGUGAUAUGAACCGUUAUAACCGGCGAUUUCCGAAUGGGGAAACCCAGUGUGUUUCGACACACUAUCAUUAACUGAAUCCAUAGGUUAAUGAGGCGAACCGGGGGAACUGAAACAUCUAAGUACCCCGAGGAAAAGAAAUCAACCGAGAUUCCCCCAGUAGCGGCGAGCGAACGGGGAGCAGCCCAGAGCCUGAAUCAGUGUGUGUGUUAGUGGAAGCGUCUGGAAAGGCGCGCGAUACAGGGUGACAGCCCCGUACACAAAAAUGCACAUGCUGUGAGCUCGAUGAGUAGGGCGGGACACGUGGUAUCCUGUCUGAAUAUGGGGGGACCAUCCUCCAAGGCUAAAUACUCCUGACUGACCGAUAGUGAACCAGUACCGUGAGGGAAAGGCGAAAAGAACCCCGGCGAGGGGAGUGAAAAAGAACCUGAAACCGUGUACGUACAAGCAGUGGGAGCACGCUUAGGCGUGUGACUGCGUACCUUUUGUAUAAUGGGUCAGCGACUUAUAUUCUGUAGCAAGGUUAACCGAAUAGGGGAGCCGAAGGGAAACCGAGUCUUAACUGGGCGUUAAGUUGCAGGGUAUAGACCCGAAACCCGGUGAUCUAGCCAUGGGCAGGUUGAAGGUUGGGUAACACUAACUGGAGGACCGAACCGACUAAUGUUGAAAAAUUAGCGGAUGACUUGUGGCUGGGGGUGAAAGGCCAAUCAAACCGGGAGAUAGCUGGUUCUCCCCGAAAGCUAUUUAGGUAGCGCCUCGUGAAUUCAUCUCCGGGGGUAGAGCACUGUUUCGGCAAGGGGGUCAUCCCGACUUACCAACCCGAUGCAAACUGCGAAUACCGGAGAAUGUUAUCACGGGAGACACACGGCGGGUGCUAACGUCCGUCGUGAAGAGGGAAACAACCCAGACCGCCAGCUAAGGUCCCAAAGUCAUGGUUAAGUGGGAAACGAUGUGGGAAGGCCCAGACAGCCAGGAUGUUGGCUUAGAAGCAGCCAUCAUUUAAAGAAAGCGUAAUAGCUCACUGGUCGAGUCGGCCUGCGCGGAAGAUGUAACGGGGCUAAACCAUGCACCGAAGCUGCGGCAGCGACGCUGAUGCGUUGUUGGGUAGGGGAGCGUUCUGUAAGCCUGCGAAGGUGUGCUGUGAGGCAUGCUGGAGGUAUCAGAAGUGCGAAUGCUGACAUAAGUAACGAUAAAGCGGGUGAAAAGCCCGCUCGCCGGAAGACCAAGGGUUCCUGUCCAACGUUAAUCGGGGCAGGGUGAGUCGACCCCUAAGGCGAGGCCGAAAGGCGUAGUCGAUGGGAAACAGGUUAAUAUUCCUGUACUUGGUGUUACUGCGAAGGGGGGACGGAGAAGGCUAUGUUGGCCGGGCGACGGUUGUCCCGGUUUAAGCGUGUAGGCUGGUUUUCCAGGCAAAUCCGGAAAAUCAAGGCUGAGGCGUGAUGACGAGGCACUACGGUGCUGAAGCAACAAAUGCCCUGCUUCCAGGAAAAGCCUCUAAGCAUCAGGUAACAUCAAAUCGUACCCCAAACCGACACAGGUGGUCAGGUAGAGAAUACCAAGGCGCUUGAGAGAACUCGGGUGAAGGAACUAGGCAAAAUGGUGCCGUAACUUCGGGAGAAGGCACGCUGAUAUGUAGGUGAAGUCCCUCGCGGAUGGAGCUGAAAUCAGUCGAAGAUACCAGCUGGCUGCAACUGUUUAUUAAAAACACAGCACUGUGCAAACACGAAAGUGGACGUAUACGGUGUGACGCCUGCCCGGUGCCGGAAGGUUAAUUGAUGGGUUAGCCGCAAGGCGAAGCUCUUGAUCGAAGCCCCGGUAAACGGCGGCCGUAACUAUAACGGUCCUAAGGUAGCGAAAUUCCUUGUCGGGUAAGUUCCGACCUGCACGAAUGGCGUAAUGAUGGCCAGGCUGUCUCCACCCGAGACUCAGUGAAAUUGAACUCGCUGUGAAGAUGCAGUGUACCCGCGGCAAGACGGAAAGACCCCGUGAACCUUUACUAUAGCUUGACACUGAACAUUGAGCCUUGAUGUGUAGGAUAGGUGGGAGGCUUGGAAGUGUGGACGCCAGUCUGCAUGGAGCCGACCUUGAAAUACCACCCUUUAAUGUUUGAUGUUCUAACGUUGACCCGUAAUCCGGGUUGCGGACAGUGUCUGGUGGGUAGUUUGACUGGGGCGGUCUCCUCCUAAAGAGUAACGGAGGAGCACGAAGGUUGGCUAAUCCUGGUCGGACAUCAGGAGGUUAGUGCAAUGGCAUAAGCCAGCUUGACUGCGAGCGUGACGGCGCGAGCAGGUGCGAAAGCAGGUCAUAGUGAUCCGGUGGUUCUGAAUGGAAGGGCCAUCGCUCAACGGAUAAAAGGUACUCCGGGGAUAACAGGCUGAUACCGCCCAAGAGUUCAUAUCGACGGCGGUGUUUGGCACCUCGAUGUCGGCUCAUCACAUCCUGGGGCUGAAGUAGGUCCCAAGGGUAUGGCUGUUCGCCAUUUAAAGUGGUACGCGAGCUGGGUUUAGAACGUCGUGAGACAGUUCGGUCCCUAUCUGCCGUGGGCGCUGGAGAACUGAGGGGGGCUGCUCCUAGUACGAGAGGACCGGAGUGGACGCAUCACUGGUGUUCGGGUUGUCAUGCCAAUGGCACUGCCCGGUAGCUAAAUGCGGAAGAGAUAAGUGCUGAAAGCAUCUAAGCACGAAACUUGCCCCGAGAUGAGUUCUCCCUGACUCCUUGAGAGUCCUGAAGGAACGUUGAAGACGACGACGUUGAUAGGCCGGGUGUGUAAGCGCAGCGAUGCGUUGAGCUAACCGGUACUAAUGAACCGUGAGGCUUAACCUU
rnacentral:rRNA from 1 species